UCAAAGUGGGGAAUAACACCGGGAAACCGGUGCUAAUACCGCAUAUUCUGACGAGAUCUGCGGAUUUUGUCAGGAAAGGAGCAAUUCGCUAUGAGAGGGGUCCGCGGCUGAUUAGCUAGUUGGUGAGGUAAUGGCUCACCAAGGCAACGAUCAGUAGCCGGUCUGAGAGGACGGUCGGCCACACUGGAACUGAGACACGGUCCAGACUCCUACGGGAGGCAGCAGUGGGGAAUUUUUCGCAAUGGGGGAAACCCUGACGAAGCAAUGCCGCGUGGAUGAUGAAGUAUUUCGGUACGUAAAAUCCUUUCGACAGGGACGAAACCGCAAGGUUGACGGUACCUGUAGAAGAAGCCCCGGCUAACUCCGUGCCAGCAGCCGCGGUAAUACGGGGGGGCAAGCGUUGUUCGGAAUUACUGGGCGUAAAGGGUGCGUAGGCGGCUUUCUAAGUUGGAUGUGAAAACUCUGGGCUCAACCCAGAGCCUGCAUCCAAAACUGGAGAGCUUGGGUUCUGGAGGGGAAAGCGGAAUUCCUGGUGUAGCGGUGAAAUGCGUAGAUAUCAGGAGGAACACCGGUGGCGAAGGCGGCUUUCUGGACAGAUACCGACGCUGAGGCACGAAAGCUAGGGGAGCAAACAGGAUUAGAUACCCUGGUAGUCCUAGCCCUAAACGAUGGAUACUUGCUGUGAGGGGGAUUGAAACCCUUUG
rnacentral:rRNA from 1 species